rnacentral:lncRNA from 1 species
GUUGUUGGCGGUACGACGGUGUUUGGUUGCGUUUUGGACUUUUGGUUUUGGUGGUUACUUGGUCAAAAAGGUCAAAGAAGGUGGAAUGAGUAUUUGGUAUUUACUCUAACCGAGAAAUUAGGGUAGGAAAUUGGUUCGGUUAUGGAAAAAAUUGAAUGGAAAUAUUUAUCACGGAAAAUAUUGUUAAAAUCAACUAUUGAUCGAAUUUCUAGAGAGAUCAAUCAUUUUUUGUCCGUAAAUUAAUGGUUGAGCUUACUUAUGAUUAAUCUAUGUUAAAUAAAUAUGCAUGUGUAUUAUGUAUAAACGAACUUUUUAUUUAUUCCUCGUUCUUUUCGGUUGUCACUAAAUUAUAUUUUUUUCAUAAAAAAAUUAUAAAAAAUGCAGGUUGUGUUAUAUUUUUCGAGUUUAAUAGACAAUAAGAUGAUCUAUUUAAUCUAAUUUCACUAUGCUUUUAUAAAUUUUCUAAUUUAUAUACUAUUUGUUGAUAAAUUCUUAUCUCGUAUAUAUGGAUAGAUUAUUAAUUUUCACCAUUUUCGAUCGUAAUAUCGAUGAACUAAUUUGAGUGUACGUAGCCAAAUCAUGGGCUCCUUAGUCAAGGUUUGGGGGCUUAUAGAGAUAAAAAGAGUCAUUUUCUGACGUUGAAAACUACGACUCCGAUACUAGCUAAUAGUUUAAUACAAAGGGCAAAGCCACUUGGUUCAUUACUACAAGAUCGAUUAUGCAAGCUAUAUUACGUCAUUUAUUGCAUAUGGUUAGGACCAAACCUAACUUCCAACUACAUUCAUGUUAAAUAUAAUCUAAACCCACAUCAUCAAGAUUUUGUCAUUUUAAUAUUCAAUUUAGGCUGGAUUUGUACGACUCAAUUAACUUUUAGAAUUCACUUUUAAUAUCAUAUUAUUAAAUUCGAAUAAACCCAUUAGGUAUACUCAUGUAUUUACUAGCUAGUUCAAUUUAUAAUAUCUACAAAAAGUACGAUCGAUUAUUAAAAUAUCUUACAAUUUUUACGAAUCACUUUAUAAAUUUGAUGGAUAUUUAUGUAGGUUUCGAGUUUACCUUACUAAACAAGCAUUUGAUGAGUGAAAAGUUCUUCCUUUAAAACCAAAAUAGAAAAUGGAAAAUGGGUUAAAUUAGAAGAAAAUAGAAAAACUGUUCGAUUAAAUAAUGUACCUUUGUAAUAUUGGCAGAAUCGAAUAGUGUACCUUUGUAAUAUUGGCAGAAUCGGACAAUCUUGGCGACCAGGACUUCACAAUAGUCAACCUCGGAGAACUCACCGCCGCCAAUUGAACUUCCGACAACGGCGAUUCAUUCCCAACGCCCGCUGGAGACUCUUUAUAAUCAUCGGAAACAUUCUCCACCAAAUCGUCGGAACCAGUAGACCCCAAGCUGCAAUUAUUAACAGGAGACAAGUACCCGGCCACCGGUUCACUCUCGCCAGCGACCACCGCCUCCACACCCCAAAGCAUACACCACCGCCCGGCGACGCUCACGGGGGCAGCGGCGCUGGCNNNNNNNNNNNNNNNNNNNNNNNNNNNNNNNNNNNNNNNNNNNNNNNNNNNNNNNNNNNNNNNNNNNNNNNNNNNCCCCCCCCCCGCUGCCACUCCUGCCGGCAGUCGGAGGAGGCUAGGAAGCCGCCGGUGGCGGACGUUUGGACGACUUUGAAGCCGGCCGCGCCCAGGAGGAAGGGAGCGUCAGAGGCGGUGAGGUAAGUCCCGAAGGAGCUCCUUAGGCGAAUGACGAUGUCGUUUUGGUCUUCGCUGUCGAGGAGCUCGACGAACCACGUGGCGGGAGGGGAGGAGGCGGAGGUGCGGGUUUGACGAACGGUGUAUCCGUCGUCGUCGGCCAGGAGGUAUUUGUCCAGGUGGCUCCGGAGCUUUACUGCUUUGGUUUUAGUGAAGAACUCCAUUUCUAAUUAAGGGGGUUAAUUUGCUGGGAUUAGAGAUAUGAUUAAGUAUUGUGUUGAAGAUUUUGGUUUUCAAUAUAUGGGAGUGAUCAAAGAGUUAGAAAGUAAUAAUGAGGGUUUGAUAGAUUUAUAUAUUUUUCGUUAAACCUUGCAUCCUAUUUUAUUUAUAACUAAUUAAAUUACAAAAAUUUUACGUGAAUUAUACAUAUUUUAACAUAAUAAUUAAGGACCUGAUUACCAAAUUUUCUUACUACGUUGGAUCUUGUAUCCCUUAUUUCUGGAAGUAUGCGGGAAACGAUGUGCAUGAGUUAAUUGGCGAUAUAUAUUGUUUUUCUGAAAUGAAAUUCCACUCAUUUUGAGAAAUUUAUUUCCAAUAUAAUUUAAUAUAUUCCCUUAGUUUAUUUUAAAUUUUAAUAUCUUCCCUUAGUUUAUUUUAAAUUAUUUUUAGACGACUAACACUAAGAAUGACACCAUGAUGUGUAUGGGAGACAACUAGAUAGGAACUAGGAAAGCACACAUAUAAUUUUAAACAUCGAUUUAGUAAGGCCAACCAAACAUUGCCUUAGUGAUAUUCACUAACACGUCGUUUAAGAGAUAUCUAGGAGAUUAUGGUAUCACAAAUGAACGAUUUUGUGCAAUCGGACUCGGGCUCUACUUAGAUUUAGGGAUCCUCAAUAACUUCGAGUUAGUUUUAGAUUUUCAUGCUUGGUUACAUACAUAUAUAACUUCGAGUUAGUACACCUUGUUUGGUCAUUUAUUAUCUUUUGCAAGCGCUCACAACAAAUAAAAUAAUUAUUUAUUGUCGAAGAUAAACACUCCAAUUACCAACAUAAUUAUCCGAAACCUAUGCACCUCAUCAUUUGUUGGGACUUAAGGGUUGCACUCAUGUGGUUUUGUAAUUGGCUGGUGGCUAUAUCGUAGUGAUUAUUGUUAUUGAUGCAUCAUUGACACCACCAUUUCAUCUUUCGGCAGUCUUUGUUAGCAUUUAUCACAAUUUAUUGUGUUUCGAUACUUUGAAAUGUAAGCUCGCAACAGUUUUAUGUUUGCACAGUCUCGAAAAGUCUUGUGUAAUGAAUUGAAGCUACCAAAAUUAUUAACAUUUUAUCAGACAAAUGCUCUAAUAUCACAUCAUUAACCAUUAACCAUUACAUCCAAUAAUUUAAAUUAUUAAGAGAAUCUCCAAAAUUAAUUUUAUCAUUCAUAACAACAUCACUUAUAUAUAUAAACUAAUAAUUUUAUAUACUAACUCCAAACUACAAAUAUAAAGAAAUACACCACACAACACAAUCUCAUCCCUUCAUAACCAACAACAAAACAACAAAGUUUAACAUAAACACAAAGGACUUUUGACAACAUUUUUCCAUUAAGCUGAGGCACCUUUGAGUUUGGCGACAAGAACCUUGGCAAACCCGACGAUCUUCUCAGUCUCAGGCAGGACAUCCUUAACAGCAGGAUCCGCCGCAAACUUUUCCGACCACUUCACCAGACCAGGUGUUUUCUCCUCGUCAAGUAGCUUCACUCCAAUCAUCACCUGCAAACCUCUCAUCCAGCUCAGCAUGCUCCCGAGGGCAAUGUCGAGGAACCCGAUCCUGUCGCCUCCGAAGAAGUCUUUGCCCUUGCUGAUGUCCUUGUAAGCUUGUUCGAGCAGAGCGAGUCCUUCGAGCAAUUGGUCCACCGCCGUAGUUUUGGCCUCCUCGGUUGGUGCUAGGGGUGCUGCCCUUAUGUUUGGGAACCACUGUGGGAAAACAAAGGGGUUGAAGGUUAGAGGUUUGUUUGGAUUGAUGGAAUAGUUAGGAAAGAUUUGAGACUUUUGAGAUUGGUAGGAAAGAUUGAGAAGAACCAUUGAAUGGUUUGAUUCACUAACCACUAGGGAAAAUAGUAACUACUCAUUGGUUUGGUCGAAAUAUGAAAUCGUUAUAAAUUUAUGUAUGACACAAUUUUUGAUCAUUAUCUUUGGUGAAUUAAGAACUAAAAUCACUGUUUUUGUUAACCUGUAACGAGGUGAAAUGAGUGACCGCACCCGGCUCUAAACAUCGAAAACGGAUUAUCAAGGAACCCGCUACUCAAAUUUGACCGAUCCGGUUACCGAUUAGACUGUACUCGGAAUUCCUAGUCCUAAAACCGUUCAUGACAAAAAAUGCAAACUAAAAACCAACAAGAACCCAUGAAAACACAAUCCCUUCCCAGAGAUACCCACAAACUUGAAUGUCAAAUAAUCAAACACGAAGCAUCAUUCGUACAUAAUCACAAAUCGUUCAAAUAAAAAAAACAACGGCAUACCUUUUCAUCGAUGUAGGCAGCCCAGAACCGUGCGAUGGCGCGAUCGUAAGGAUCGGACGGUAAAAUCGAAGGGCCAGACGUAGACCAGACCUCAUCAAUGUACUCGACGAUGAUGCUGGACUCGCAGAUAGGUCUGUCCUUGUGGAGAAGGACCGGGAUCUUCUUGUGGACAGGGUUCGAUUUCAGCAGGAGCUCGCUCUUGGAGCCGAAUUGCUCCUCUAGGAAAUCGUACUCGACCGAUUUGAGGUUGAGUGCGAUUCGGGGACGCAUCACGAAGGGGCUCGGCCAGGCUCCGAUCAACUUCACGUCGCUCUUGUUGGCUGCCAUGGUGGGUGAAAAAACAGGGGAUUUUGUUGUGAAGGUUUUAAUUUGUUUCUUUGUUUUUUCUCUGUUUCGUGUUUUGAUUUUGGGUGAAGGGAAGGAAAUGGGUAUUUAUAGUAGUGGGGAGACGAAGAUUCUAGGUGUGAAAAGUUAAAGCUUUGAUUAGUUGGGUUGUUUGGAGAUUGGGGAAUCAUGAAUGUGAACGGGAGACUCUACGGAAUUGGGAAUAGUAUGACAUGCUUGGUGACGUUGUAACAUUGUUCACAUGUGGUUUUAUCAUUAUUAUAAUCAGAAACGGAAUCAGGAAUUUAGUUCAAGAUGGAUCGGAAAAUUUAUAAUUUGUAAUAAGAAAAAUUUACAACUCGAAGUUUUAGUUGCAUUUUAUGUAAUUACAAAAAACUAGUACUUUAAUAAUUAUUAAACUAUUGUCGGCUAUGACGGCCGAUAACCCUCCCGACCAUGAGUUAAUCUUCGCCCCUGAUUAAAAUUAUGUUGAGUUUAACUAGCUCUUUCUUAUAUUAGGUACAAGUUAAGAAUGUUUUUAAUUUUCCAUGCAAACAAAAAGUUUCAAAUUUGAUUGUUCAUAUAUAUAAGGAGGAUAUGCACAAAAAUAUUAACCAGAUGAUGUCAGUCUUAUUACUAGCCGAUCUUUCUUUACUUAUAGGUUGGAACUGUAAUGUUGGCAAUGCACAUGAACACGAUAGAGAUUGGAGCAACAGUUAUCGGGUCCGACAGUCUGGCCCGAACAUGUUCCAAUUGAGAUAUAGUUCUAGGGAGAGUCUAAAUAUAUAUAUAUAUAUNNNNNNNNNNNNNNNNNNNNNNNNNNNNNNNNNNNCAUCUUUUUAUUAUUGCAUAUAAUUGUGGACAUACUGAAUAGGCCAUAAUUUGAUUCACAAGUUAAGAAAAUUAAAAAUCCGUUACUAAUAAUUGAUUGGAUUAUGAAUUGGAUUACAUAACCUUUUCUAUUCAAUCACCUGCGUUAGUGUCCGAUUGGUAGCAUUCACGCUCUAAAGUGAUGGUAUUUAAAAUUUUAGUUGUCUUUGUUAUUUAGAUACCUAACUACAUAAAUCAUUUUAUCCUCAAAAAUUUGAAUUGUUGGAAGAAUAUCACGAUUAAUUUAUUUCAAUCAAAAAAUUGAGGUUUAUAUACUACUUUGAUAAAUCUUAUGCAAUGGAUGGUAAACUAUUUAGAUUCGAAACAAUAAUCUGUUGUCACUCAAAAAAUUCUAAUAUAAUAUCAUUAAACCAUUACAGAUACAACACAAUCCUCAUCCUUCAUAAUCAACCACCAAAACAACAAAGAAAACAUACUAAACACACAAACGUCAACAAAACCAACUACUAUUUUUCAAGCUGAGGCACCUUUGAGUUUGGGCACAAGAAUCUUUGCAAACUCGACAAUCUCCUCAGUGUCAGGCAGGAUAUCCUUAACAGCAGGAUCCGCCGCAAACUUCUCCGACCACUUCAGCAGACCAGGUGUUUUCUCCUCGUCCAGGAGCUUCACCCCAAUCAUUACUUGCAGGCCUCUGAUCCAGCUCAGCAUGCACCCGAGGGAAAUGUCGAGGAACCCGAUCGUGUCGCCUCCGAAGAAGUCUUUGCCUUUGCUGAUGUCUUUGUAAGCUUGUUCGAGCAGACCAAGCGCUUCGAUGAGCUGGUUCGUUGCUGUGGUUUUGGCCUCUUCGGUUGUUGCUAUGAGUGCCGCCCUUACUUUUGGGAACAACUGUUGGGAAAAAACCAAUAAAGAUUAUGACUUUUGAGAUUGGUUGGAGAAAUGGAGAAGAACCCAUGAAAAGUUUGGUUAAUUACUCGGUCGGUUAAACUCGUAUUUGAUAUCAAAUCGAUAUACAAAUCCAGCAUCAUUAAUCAUAGGAUAAACAAAUGUUCUUAAAGUACAGCGAUUACCUAGUAUGGUUAUUUUACGUAGAAUUUCGUCACUCUAGUCCUAUCACAAAAGAGUUUAGAAAGAAAAACGUACCUUUUCAUCGAUGUAGGCAGCCCAGAAGCGUGAGAUGGCGCGUUCAUAAGGGUCGGACGGUAAGAUCGAAGGGCCAUAGGAGGACCAAACCUCGUCAAUGUACUCGACGAUGAUGCUCGAUUCGCAAAUGGCUGUGUCGUUGUGGAGGAGGACGGGGAUCUUCUUGUGAACAGGGUUGGAUUUGAGGAGGAGCUCGCUCUUCUUACCAAAUUGCUCUUCCAGGAACUUGUACUCGAUCGAUUUGAUGUUGAGUGCGAUUCGGGGACGCAUCACGAAGGGACUCAGCCGGGCUCCGAUUAGCUUCACUUGGCUCUUGAUGCUGUUGGUGGCCAUGGCGGGAAAACAGGGGAAAUUUUGUUAAGGUUUUUGGUUGUUCUUUGUAUUUUCUCUGUGUCUGUGUUUUGAUUUUGGGGCGAGGAGAGGAAAAUGGGUAUUUAUAGUUGGGGGGAGAAGAAUAUUCUAGUUGUUUGGAGAUUGGGGAAUCUUGAAUGUGAAAGGAGAAAUAGUAUGACAUGCAUGGUGACGUUGUUCUACUAGUGGUUUGAUCAUUAAGUUGUUGAGUUCCAUGCUCAUGAGGGAAGCAUCGUAUCUGUUAUCUAAGGUUCGAGAAUGACACGAGUUAAAGAAGGUAAACCAGAUAUUCAUAGAUUCCGUUUGGGACGAGAUAUUACAUGUUAAUUAUACUUAUAACAUUGAAACAAAAUCUGUUAUAUAUUCGGCUUAUUUAGUUAUUUUUUAGAAAAAAGACUUUUGUCACGGUGUGUGACAAGAGAGCUCUCUCAAAAUUACACAAAUUUAGUGAGAAAGACAAGUCUAGUUAAGCUAUAUGGUUGGGUUUAUAGUCCACCGUUGAUAAAAUGUAUGCGUACAGUUUGUCAAAAUUUUCAUGCUGCAAUCGCAUCACCUUCAACAUCGUAAUCCCAGAAUAUAAGAAAACUUCACAUCUGAUGAAUAAUUUUUGUGGUGGAGAUCUAAGAAGCGUUUCAAUUGAAGUGGGAAAUUGACUACAGAAGGACAAAAGACUUCGAUUUUCUGUUUGGUUUCGGUGGAAAAAGUUAAGACGUCAUUGAUGAUCAAAAGCUAACUGCAUUGAUUUUGACGGCGAUAGUGUUGUCGGUGGAUUUCGUGCGGCUGAGAUUGGUUGAACCGAUCAAAAGAGAAGACAAAUCAAAACUCAGGUUCAUUCAUUCUAUAUUGACCUGCUGACCCAAUACCCACGGUUCGUACAGAUUGUACAUGUAGCAGAGGUGUCAAACCGGGCAAGAUUGUACAUGUAACGAGUUCAUUGAGCGGUUAAUGUUACAAAUAUUCGACUUCAAACCGAUACGGAUCACAAAAUUUGAAUCAAACAAAUCAAGUCAAGAUUUAUCAAACUUCGUCGAUUCAGUCACGAGUUGACCAAAACUUGGGUAGACGAGUUCGUCGGUUGGGUCAGCAUUUGACAGUUCUAUAUAGAAGAAAAGAAAUGUAAUGGCAAUUUUGCAAAAUAAGAAUCAUAAUACAUGGGGAACUGUGGAUUCCUCUUUGUUGAACAUUAUGUGUGUUUGUGCGUGUGAGUUUGUGAUCUUCAUGUUCUGAGUCUAGGAACUCUGAGAUGCCAAAAAUGGCGUAAUGUAAUCUUGCAAUGAGGAUACUCCUGUAUAAAACAUGAAGAUAUGUAAUGAACAUGUGAUCAUGAUGACAAAAAUACGCCAACUUUGUCAAACUGAUAGUGAUUCUUGGUUCUGGUCUCUCUCUCUAUUCAAGUUGCAGAAACAGUAAGGAUGAAGAAGUAGAGCCAAGAACACAAAAAUAUCUCAGUUUGUUGCAUACCUCAGAUGUCAUUUGCCCAUUUUACCAUCUCUGAUAGGGCUUUCUUUGUUUUCCUUCGUCAAAACUCGCAAAAUCGAGCAAGAGUCGAUGAACAGUCUUUAAGCAAGUCUUGUUGCAAAGACUUCGAUACUCUUGGCAUCUUCAAGCUGAAAAGGAAGGACCUUUCUUCUCCAAUGGUUUCCCUGUUAAUUGUUGGAGCCCCCCACAAGCUCCUCUAUAGCUUCAUCAAAAAGCUCAAAACUGCUUCCUUUGUUCCCCUCGUCAUAAUUUACACCAACAAGUAAAUUGUACACAUCUGUAUCAGGAGCCAACCCCUCUUUUCUCAUGUCUUCAAAUAUUUUCCUCGCUUCCAAAGGUUUCUUCCUCUUUAAGAACCCUUUGAUGAGAGCAUUAUACGAAGCAGCCGCGACACUAAAUCCUUUCUCAGCCAUCGCUUUGUACAGAAACCACGCUUCUUUCAUAUUUCUAGCCUUACAGUGUCCUCUAAUCAAAAUAUUGUAAGUGUUUUCAUCAGGCAUCACUCCACCAGCUUGCAUCGACCUGAAAAUCUCGGUCGUUCGGUGCAUAUUGUUUCUUAUCGAGUACUGCUUCACAAGAGAAUUAUAAGUCGUGGCAUUCGGCAUCACCCCUCUAUUCAACAUCCAUUCCAGUAGCCUUUCACCAUCUUCAACCCUUCCUGACUGACAAAAUGCAUUCAUAAGCACGUUGAAUGUAACAAUUGUAGGCAGUAGCCCUCUUUUCAGCAUCUCUUGCAGAAGCUCUUUACCCUUAUCCAUCUCCCCCAUCUUGCAGUAAGCAUCCAUUAAAAUAGUGUAAGUGACGGUAUCGGGAUAAAUUCCUGCUACUGCCAUUUCUUCUUUCAGCUUCAGUGCUUGUCCAAGAUUCCCUACUUUACAAAGACCAUUUACCAUCGAGUUAUAAGUCCAUACAUUCGGUUUCAGACCUUUCGUAAGCAUCUCCUGUAGAAGCUCAUUUGCUGUAUCGACUUCCCCGAUUUUACAAAGGCCAUCAGUGAGUGUGGUGUAUGUAACAACGUUUGGCACAACUCCGCGUCGAACCAUCUGAUUGUGAAGGGAAAAGGCCUUCUUCAUCUCACCUAAUUUGCAGUAUCCAUCAACAAGUGCUGAAUAUGUUACCACGUCUGGUUGCACUCCUUGAUUAUGCAUUUCGGUAAAGAGCUUUUCAGCUUCCAGCAUGUUUCCAGUUUGAGAAAAUCCACAGAUGAUAGCAGUGUAAGCUAUCAAGUCAGGAAUAACCCUUUGUGCAUGCAUCUCUCGGAAUAAUGCAUAAGCAGCCUGAGUAUUCCCAAGCCUACAAAAUCCAUGAAUCAGCGUCGUAUAGAUCACAUUGUCAGGAGCUAUUCCCUGGUGUAUCAUCUCCUUCAAGACUUUAUCUAUCUCACUGACAUUUCCAGUCGUAAACAGAAGAAGCAUAAUGCCAUUAUAAGUAUACAAGUUCGGCUUCAAUCCCUUAAGCUGCAUUUCUUCAAUAAGGUGCAGCACUUCUUCUGAUUCUCCACUUUGACAAUAGCCAUUUAUUAUGGUGCUAUAACUUACAACAUCAGGAGGAAACCCCUUCAACUCCAUUUGUAGUAGCAACGUAUGUGCCUCCUUCAAUCUAUCUAACUGACAAAGAGUGCUCAUAAUUUUAUUGUAUGAUGCAGUGUUCCAACAAACACCAACCAGAGAGAACUCACGAUAGACCUCCAAAGCUGUUAUAAGCCCUUGUGGGCUGUUGGACAACUGUGACAAAUACAAGUUACACGAAUCGACUGAAACGACUAUGCCAUAGUUCAGCAAUUUCUCAAAGAGGCUUUUUGCUUCAGCAAGCAACCCGGUUUCAACAAGAACUUGAAAGAAUACAUCAAAUACAUGGGGAUCCGAACCCCAAUCUUUAUAUGUGUAUAUUAACCGCUCUACAAAAAGUGUGAAAGCAUGACCAAUAUCCAAAUUAGGCUUCGUCCAAAAGUCACGAAUAAGCUCAUCGGCCGCCUUUAGAUCCUUAGAGGCAGCAGCAAGUUGAAUUACAAUACAACGAGCUUCAAGGUUUGGAUCUCUCUGAAGGCAAACCCAAUUAAAGAAAUCCAAAACCAAUUCAUAAUCGUUCUUAAUUCUCAUGAGAACCCAAACCACAUGGUCCGACCUAAACUUUGGCUCGAAAGGCUUCAGAACUCUGCGGAGGGGCUCACAACGGCGCAACCUAAUUACGGUUGAGAUUUGAUGGACAAGCUCAGAGUCUCUAAUUGUAGGCUUCUUUGGUGAAUAAUCAGGAAAAGGUCUCACUUUGCUUGAGCUUGAGAAAGCCAGCCUCUGGCUCAAACAUGCUAUCACUGAAAACUGUAAACAACCUACAGGGUGCUCUCCCCUGGUAUGAUGAGAAACUAAUUGAAAAGCACGUCCCAAUAAGUGAAAUGCUGACCUUUUCAUUUCUCCGGAGGAAACCCAUGAUCAUGAACUUCACGAAUGUGAUAAUGCGAUUGAAGAAGCUUCCUUCCUUGUAGAAGAAUCAGAAGAAACACACUUCAUCACCUCAUCACCUAUAACUCAAGACACUGUGGCAGCGGCAUGAACCCAUUUUCGGUUAAUUAACUUAUAAACUUCAAAGCCUCCAUAUACAUGUCCUCCGAGGCAUUUAAUCAAACACCUGGUGCACAAUCUGGUAAAAGUAAAACAACACUGUCGGCAGCUAAAACGCUAUACUAGUACACUCCCACGCGAAAGUUCACCAGUUUCAGUAACUCACCAUCCAAUAGCAAACAGAGCGCCACUGAAAUAACGCCAUUGACUGAUAAAAUUAUUCACAACGUAAACCAAGCUCCAGAUAGCCGCGGUGAUCGCAGAGGAAACAAGCGAUGAACGAAGGGAACGAAUCAAGGACAGUCCAAGGAGAACAUUAAAUACCCUUUCAAAUGUAUAAGAUGGAGAAACGAUUGCUGAAACUCGUAGAAGCAAAGAUGAUAGCCGCGCGAAGAGUCGAUCGACUGGAGUGGAAUCUCUUCUUUGUUUGUGAACUCUGAAAGUUUUGCUUUGUUGCGGAGCCAAACCAACUUCUCCCCAAUUCAGUUUACAUAUGAACUUCAAUUGGGCCCAAUACAAUGGAGUCGGCCCAAUGAGCUCGCUUGUUGAAUAGAUCAUCGAUACGGUCCGGUCCAUUUCCAUAAUUAUGGCCAUUCCGUAAUUUAAUUUUAGUUGUCUACUAAACGAGCAAUUUAAUUUUAAUAGUCAGAGAUUAGUCAAUAGAAUUGGUAAUUUGGAAUCCGUAAAUUAAUGGACAUGGUUCAAGAAUUAUAAAUAGGUGGGUAUGUAUAAAAUCCGACUGUUAGAUGGACAAGCAAUGGAUAUAUCAAACCUUUUUGUACUCACACGUUGCAAUCCUUAAUUUUUUUUCGGGAAAAAGUGUUUUUUCUCUUUGUUUUUUUAAUUAACAACUAAGUGCUAGUGAAUAAUAUAACUAUUAAUCGAAAUCUUCUCACAACAACUUGAGUUAUUGAGAUGCAACGGUUUUUGACAUAGCAUUAGAGCCUUACAUGACAGAGAGGCCUCCGUUCGAAUUUUGAUAGCGCCCAAUCGGUGCACAUGACUUAUUUAUUGAAGUUGUGCAAACAUUAGUUCUCAUAAAAGCUUUCAUUUUAGGGGUGUAUUAAUGAUUGAUAUAAAUAUCAAUCAGAAUUUUCUCUCAACAUCUCCAGUUAUUGGGAUGCAACAAUUCUUGACGCUAACCCCUUAUACUUUUUAAGGUGAACGGUUUUAACCCUUUCGUCCAUUGCCCCAUCAACUUUCCAUCAAAUCUGCUUAUUUGGUUCGCUACUUUAUAUCAUUUUGUCCGACUACUUAUUAGGCCGAAUUAUAUAUAAAUUUUUUCGGAAUAAACGCUUCACCAUGAUUGGCUGUCACACGGUAGCUAGAUAGCAAUAGAGCUUAACGUCGAUAUCGAUCCCUUUCAUGCAUGUCCAUUCCCGACAAAGAAGCCAUGGGCCACUCCCCCAUUAUAUUGAUUGAUCAUUUGAUAAUAAUAAUAUCUUGUCGCAAACUAAAAGUUUUCUAAUUUAUUAUCCAACUUACUUCAUUCACUAACACCCGACAACUCAACCCGGCUACGAUUUUGAGAGUUGAUUCCGAAAGUCGGUUUCGAGAGAUCCAAGUCGUUAAAUCUGGCCGAUGACGUCAUACUGUGAUCUAAUAGUCACAAUUUUCAGGGGCAUAUAUAUAAAGUGUCAAAAUAAUAGGAAAGAAAAGUGGGCGAGAAAACAAAGUUUGAAAAUCAAUACUUUAUCAUUACAAGUCUUUUACAAUAUGUUUUUAUAAUUGUUAUGAAAUAAUUAUCCACCCGUUAUGGAUCCUUUUUAUAAGACAAUUAUGUCUACGUUAUGUCAACCUUAUGAACUUGUUAAGUUAUUUUUUUAUCCACUUCACAUGUAAUUAUGUCAAUAACUAAUAUAUCACUGUUAUUACGUACAUCUUAUGCACCGAGUCUGUUACGCAACUGUUAUAUAGCUGAUACGUCCUUGUAAUGAGUUCGUUAUAUCUCUGUUACAACACCGUAAUAUCAAAGUUAUGUUCACUUUAUAAGUACAUUAAAUCCACUCCUUAUGAUGACUAUAUUAACCUCUUAUGUGUCCAAUAUGUCAACCUUAUGAGUCCAUUAUGUUUGCUUUAUGUGUCAUAUCAUUAUUUUAUGAACUAAGCUUAAAAUCAUGUCACAAACCACACACGAACCGAGUUUAAAAUUUUCAAUUUUCUGGAAAACAACACAAUAUGUUACGCAACUUUUGUAUCAUAGAUACGUCCUGGUCAUGGCUUCGUUAUAUCUCUGUUACAACUCUUUUAUAUCAUCAUUAUGUCCACUUUACGAGUAAAUUAAAUUAACCAUCUUUACAACUGUUCCAUGCCACCGCUUUUAUGACCAUUUUUCGAGUGUAUAAUUUCACUAUUAUUUUAAUUUUAACUAUAUUUAGUAAUAUAUUAUGGCACAAAAUANNNNNNNNNNNNNNNNNNNNNNNNNNNNNNNNNNNNNNNNNNNNNNNNNNNNNNNNNNNNNNNNNNNNNNNNNNNNNNNNNNNNNNNNNNNNNNNNNNNNNNNNNNNNNNNNNNNNNNNNNNNNNNNNNNNNNNNNNNNNNNNNNNNNNNNNNNNNNNNNNNNNNNNNNNNNNNNNNNNNNNNNNNNNNNNNNNNNNNNNNNNNNNNNNNNNNAGAAGAACAUAAUCAAAUCUGAAUCAUAUAAACAACAAAAUUUUUUAGAGAAACAAAAUGGGUUAGUACCCAGACAAAAUAAAUCUGAAUAUAAAAUAUAUCUGGUUCUAAGCAAAUAUCAAAUCUAAAAAAACACAGAUCUAAAAAUGAGUUUUACCUAAGAAAGUCUCCACCAACGUCAUUUUGUUGUCGUCUUCAUCAAUCUUCAUCGUCAUCUCUUAUUCAGCCAAUAAAUCACAAAGGAAUUUUUGGAGUUUUUUAAGAUUUUUUGUGAAAGAGGAGAGAAGGGAGAAAAGAAAGAAGAUGAAGGCGAUAGAAAGAGAAAAGAAAAGGGAGAUAAUGGAAAAAAUUUAAGGUUUUAAAAAUAAAUAUAUUUCAAAAUUCAAAUUCGUCAAAAAUAAAAUAAUUAAUAAAUCAAUUGCCUUUCACUAUCCUUAGGCGCAUAAGAUUCGUCCGAUUGAAGUCAACAUCGAAACAGCUUUAAAGCCGUCGAAUGGACUUCUCGAGACGAUCAUAUUGACUUUCCUCUCGGAGCCAUAGCCAUUUCGGUGACAACUAGCAAUGCAAGGCUGCACAGAGUCGGGAGACAACGUUAAAAGCUUGUAAGGCCCCUUCUACGGCCUAUAGGGUACUUCGUCUAAUCAUAUGGUCUCAUCGGAAUGGAUUGGAAACAAAACGCUUUCAUUUUUAGUGGCCAGAUUAUUGUGUUGAGGUGAAGUGACAUGUGGCGCGACGUGACAUGCCCAAUCAAUUCCAUAAGACUAAAUAACUAAUGGUUUAUCAUUUCAUCUUUCACGAGAAUAUAUGAAUCGGUACACAAGACACACUUGGUUUGACAAAAACUUUAAAUUAUUAAUUAAUUAAUCACCAAUCGACGAGUCGAGUAGUGUGCUCUAUAGGAUCGAAUGGACACAACACACACCUUCUCUCAAUUUGCCCUUUAAAUUAUGUUGAAUUACUUCACACAAAAAAAGACUAUGUUGAUUUCGACCGAGUGUAUUCUCAAACUAGCAUGGAUCAACCACUAACUAUUGAUUAUGGGUAAGUCCAACUUAUGGUCGGGUGGAACUGUUCAAGUUUGGUUAGAACAAGGGUAUAUUAGGUCCAUCAAAUAAAUGACAAGGUUUCGGUAUCUUGGAAGUACUGGUAUCCUCAACACUAAAAAAUUACAUUUUUAAGAUUUAAAAUUUAAAAAUAAAUUCAAAAGUCUUGAAAGUUGACAAUAAACACUAAGGAAUGAUACUAGCACCCUAAAUAUUAAACUCUAACCCUUAAACACUGAAUUAUAAACUCAAACUCUAAAUCUUCUCACAAAUUCUAACUUUUGACGAUAAAUCAAAAUUAAUAGAUCCUAACUCUAAAUAUUAGACUUUAACCUUAAUGAUACAUCUUGAACUCUAAACACAAACCUACAACCUGAAAAAUGUAAAUUUAAGUACAGAAUAUGACAAAAUAUAUAUAGUAUAAAAGGUACCGAUACCUACCUUCACGAUACCGAAGUGUUUUCCUCACAUAUAUUUAUUAUUCCGCCACUUNNNNNNNNNNNNNNNNNNNNNNNNNNNNNNNNCCGCCACUUCAUUCAUGGUAAUUGUACCCCUGGGGAUGACAAUUAUUUAUUCGAACCGGAACCGAUCAAGCAUGAUAAAAUACGAAUUAAUCGAGCGGCCGCAUUGUGUUAGGAUAUGAAUGAACCUUGAACAUCAUUACAUAUUGAGUACGGUAAGGUCCGGAUAUUGAAACAUAAGAACUGAAUUAUUAGUAAUUUGAGAGUUCUUUAUUAUUAUGAGAGUUUUUAUGUUUAUAAUAUAUAACUAAUAAAUUACUUUAUUCUAGUUAGAAUUUAGAAAUUAAAACUAUAUAUAUUUCAGUUGUAUAAAUCACAUCAGCAACUACCACAAAGCAAUGUGAUAACGAGUGCUACAAAGGUUCUUUAAUUUCAUUUGAUUCCAAUGGAUUAGAGUGGGAAAGUAUGAAGUAUCACAUCCUCGUGUCAUUCUGUAAAUGGUCAGAGCAUUAUAUUCUAGCUAGUAUUCUCCAAAUCCCACAUGACUUGUCCCUCUCUUAAUUACCUCCAAAGUUUGAGGGUCGACAACAAACUCCACUUCUCUUUGCAUUUUUUGUGUUUCCCCCAAGUUCCACGCUACCUAGCUAGCUCGUGUAGUUCUACCUUAAAGGUACCAUUCGGAGUAUCGAUCGAAUGCCAGAACUUAGCUUGUUCCGCCUUGAUGAUAAAGGGAUGAGAUUGUCUAUAUGUGCUUCGGCCUUGAGUUUGGCCUCCUUAGAGUUGGCAGGUGAAUCGUAAUUGAACUUAGACAAUUCUGCACAACCAUGAACUGACUGCUUGCAUGUUGCUUUAGACCUUACCAAAACGGGUGGCUCGGAGUGUAUCACUAACAUAUAUCGCGAAAACACUCACUUAUGGGAUCACCAAUCUUUCUAGACGGAUCCGAGAAAUGGCUUUCUGCUCAUGGUUUCUUCUAAUUUAGAAUUUUAAACAUGUGCUAUUUUGACCCAUUUGUUGGCCGGUGUUAGAAAUCCGGUAAGCUUAAAAAAGGGUUCGAUAUAUCGUACGUAAUUAAGAAAGGGGAGAUAUGGAAGCGAGAUACAAAGAUGUACGGUCACGAUUUUUAACCCUUUAGCGCAAAUUUUGUAGUGAGCUAGGUGGGUUUUGGAAUAUUAUACGUCGACCUGUCUUUAUGAGAGGAGUAAUCGUUACUUAUAGCAUGGAACACCAAAAAAUGCAUCCACCUAACAUCAACCUAAGGCCAGAAACCUAGAAAUCAAAACUUUAAAUCGUAUAUUUGGAGCGGUUCGUGAAACUCAGAUCGGAAAAUAUUAAUAUUGCACCAAUUAAUCACCAACGUGUGUAGUGGCUUAAAAAGGUUGCGUGGUUAAUUGGUUUGUGCUUCUAACUUCUAGUUUUCUAGUACAAGAAUGAGUACCCAAAUAUCAUGUAUAUGGCACGUUUUUAAAAUUUCCAAAGUGGAUAUAUGCAAGAAACUAGUUAUUUUCAUGUACAAAGAGAGGAUCAUGCAAGUACACAUACGUAACACAUCGCCACAGUAAGCAAUCACAGCUCAUUCGAACCUCGUAAGAGAAUGGGAAAGUUUUCUAUUUCAAGUAAUUCACCACGUGUCUUGCCCAUUGCCUUAUACUAGAUAGCUAGCCGUUGUAAACCAUAUAAAAAAACGAUACAAUUUCCCGUAUAAUUAAUAUCGUUGAUCGGUCUCCAUACAACGUAAUAUAUUCCCGCAUCGAUCGCGAAAAGGGUCGUGUUUGCUUCAUAACAUUACUUCUUCUAGGUAUGAAAGCUCGGCAGAUAAUUGAUCAACCGAUCGAUACCGUAAUCGCAAGUUGAACCGAUCAAUUCGAGUCUCGGAAAUGCUCCAUUUCUCCAUUUUCUUAUUCCAUCACAUGUUAUUUCCGUAAAGAGAGAAACCUAGCUAGACAUAUUAAUAAAACCCUAAGCUCAAAGGUACUGUGGCGAGAUCAACUGAAAGAGAUGGUGUGGACAAACUGUAUGUUGAUUAACUUUGAUUAACAUGUUGAACACGUGCUACAAAACUUAGUGGUGGGAAAUUAAAAUAGAAAUUAACAGUUUGUAAGUAGAAAUUAAAAUAGAUUAUUCUUUUUCUUAUAGAGAAAAGGACAUAGAUUAUUCAUAGUUUCAACAUUAUUGAAUUAGUCAUAGCUGUUUUUAGUAAUAAUUGAAUAAAUUUAUAUAUGUAAAAUUGUACAGUAUUAUCGUACUUGUAUAUAUAAGCUAAUGAGAUUGUGUGUUUGCGCAUUUGAUUAUGGUUAUUCGACGAGUAGGAUGUAGUGUAAAUCUUGUAUCGCACUAAUUUCUCCCGUGAAAUCAAGGACCACAUAGUUAAAUUUAAAUUUUCGUAGACACUUAGGACUGUCAUUAUCAUCAACAGAACGUGCCGUCAGACCUUCACAUACUAUGAGAAGGGUUUCGGCACAAGAAACCACCACAUAAUUUACCUAACUUCUUCACGAGUAACUUGGGGAUCUCCUAUCACAUGUCUAACUUCUUAUGUCAUUCAUCUAUUUCUCUGCCAACCAGACUCUGAUAUUACUCGUUAGGAUUGUCAGUUUUUGAGUUCCUUCCCGAAAAACUGUUUGGUUAUUCGAACUUCUUUUUGCAUGAUUAAAUCGAAUAUCGUGAUCAUAUAAAAGGGUUAAGAAAACAAAGUUUGACAAGGUGUGUACACCAACACCAUCAAUCAAUCAACAACACUACUUAACAAGUAUUUGAGGGAAGUAGUAAUGGAGACUUUCAAGUGAUAACCAAUGCCUGGGCAAUAUAAAGUAUGAUUCUCCAAGUGGGAAUAGGUUUGGCAGGAUAACCAUUUCUGCUUUGCCUUCCAACCAUUACCGACUUGCCUCCUAGCUCACACCCACCACUUAAUUUAUUUUUUUAAAACUAUAUAAUUAAUUAAAUUUACCAGAUAUUUUCUGCAGGAGGGUCCCAUUUGUAUUAAUCUACCACCCUUUAUAUCAGUUUAUUUUUGGUAAAAUUAUAGACAACCUUUCACUAAUUGGAAAAAAAAUGAUAACGNNNNNAAAAAGAACAACACUCAAAAAAAAAAAUAAAAAAAAAAAAAAACGACUCCACAAUCCACAUAUAAAAAAAUUAUGUUCUUCUAAUUAUAAAUAUACUACAUAGUUUGCUUUAAUAAUAGAAUUAUGUAUCGAUAGUUCGGAAGUUCUGGAUAUGAAUAUAUNNNNNNNNNNNNNNNNNNNNNNNNNNNNNNNNNNNNNNNNNNNNNNNNNNNNNNNNNNNNNNNNNNNNNNNNNNNNNNNNNNNNNNNNNNNNNNNNNNNNNNNNNNNNNNNNNNNNNNNNNNNNNNNNNNNNNNNNNNNNNNNNNNNCGUCACUUAACAAUUGCUAAAAUAAUAGUGAUGAAGAUACUAUAAAUAUUAUGCGAGUGUCUAUUUUGGACACUAAAUCCAAACUUUAUACUUUCAAAUCACGAACAUACAAUGUUACCAAUUCAACUAUUCCAUCGAAACAAAUGUGGGUGUUUAUAACCUAAAAUACACUCCUUUAUAUAGAGCUCAUGUUUAUUUUUUUUUAUUAAUUAGUCACACGAUCGAGAUGCUUUGAGAAGUCAAACUACUUAAGUGGGAAGAGGUCUCCAAAUAUCAACUAAAUUAACUGCCUUUUAAGCUAAUCAAUCAAAUCUCGAACUGAGGAAAACCCACAUCAAUCAUCAAACUAACUAAUCUCAUAAUCUCCCACUUGCAUGCUUUAACUAUCAUAAUCAGGAGAUAAUCAAUCAUUAUUAUUUAAGGUUUCUUUAAAAAAAAGAUUAAGGAAACAAUGGCCUCAAGUUGCAAAUUGUUUUCUUAGCGGCUGAUCAUCAUCAUCCACCACUCGCAGGAUACAAAUAAAACUUUGACAACACUUUGUGAUGAUGACUUGUCGACUCUCAUUGUUCACAAAUUCCCUUUACAUCUUUUUUUUUAAAGUUUUUUAAUUUUUAAAAAUGGUCUAUUUAUAAUAAUGAUAAUUGCUUAGAAUCGAUUUGUAGUUUAAUAAAUUGAUUAGUAUGUAUUUGACGAAUCUAUAAAGUUACCAACUAUUUUUAGAUCUGUUAAUCCAAACUAAAUCACAGGAAUCCGACACAACUACUGGUGAAAGAAAAUUAAACAAAACAAAAUCCCCACAUAGUCCGUGAUGCGAUCUCACCCGUCCGAUCAUCUACCCAUCUCGACAGGUAAUCACAACCGACGGCUGAGAAGUGAGGUGGACAUACACGUGGAAGUAUGAGAAGAAGAGAAAAAAAAGUUGAUAAAAGGAGGAGGAAGAAGAAGAAGAAAAGAAGAAAAGAAAAGGCUGAGAUUCAUCAGGGAAAGAAAGAAAGAGGAAGAAGAAGUGACUUCCUACUUCAACGAUUCCCAAAGCCACUUCCUUUCUCUCUCUUUCAGCCAAUUAGCGAUAGAUAGCGAGAGCCCUGCACUGCACCUCUCUACCCAGAGACCCAUUUCCCUUUUCUCUGCAUAUAAAUGCUCUGUUUAACCAACCUAGUCUGCACGCACACCAAGUGUUUGUAAUAAUUCCUCUUCCGCCCCAUUGUCAGAUCAAAGCUGGUGACAUUCGGAUUGGGUAAAUGGAUCCGCGCGGGUUAAUGAACGACGAGUCGUUUAACCUGGCGGAGAUCUGGCAGUUUCCGCUGAAUGGGAGUGGGAGGGGUCAGUUUGGGCAGAGCUUGGCUCAUUUUGCUGACUCUACUACUGGUAGGGAUAGUGAUCUGGUCAAUUUGGAAUCCAGAGGUGGGUUGAGGAAGCGAUUGAAUUUGGAGAAUGAGUCUGGGAAGGGUGUGUCUACUAGCAAUGGCAAUGGGAGCGGGAAUGGAUUGGUAAUCUGUUGUUUUUAUCUCUCUUUCUAUCAUUGUCUGAUUUACUCUUACUGUUCAGAAUCUGAUUCAAGUUCAAAUUGGAAUUAGUCACUUUCUGAUUGGUUUUGGUGACAUUUGAUGAGCUCACAAGUUUCAGUCAAUUGGGGUUGACUUGGUUUUCAAUCUUGAGUUUUAUGGUAUUUUGUAAAUUUGAUUGCUAAGCUGAGAUUUCUGAGCUCAUAGAUUUCAAUUGACUCGGUUUGACCUGGUUUUCAAUCUAUGGUAUUGAUGAAUUGUUUAAGGAGGCUGGUUUAUUACCUUUUGAGUUAUCUUCUCUUUAUUGGGUUGUAGAGUGAGAGUGAUGGGAAACGGCUAAAAAGAUCAGCUAGUAGAGAUGAUAAUUGCGAGUCCAAAGUUGAAACAGAAGAACUCAGUUCAGGGAAGCCAGUGGAACAAAAGGGUCAACCGUCGGAGCCUCCUAAACAGGAUUACAUUCACGUUCGAGCUAGGCGAGGUCAAGCUACUGAUAGCCACAGCCUAGCAGAAAGAGUAAUUCUUUUCUUCUUCUUCUUUCCAUUUUCCCACCAAGUUUGUUCAUUCCGAAGGCUCAAAGAACAAGGGCACACUACUAACGUUAAUAUAUCUGUCUCUUUCUGAUGGGUAACUGUAGGCAAGGAGAGAAAAAAUCAGUGAAAGGAUGAAGAUUCUUCAGGAUCUAGUCCCUGGUUGCAACAAGGUAAAAGUCUCUCAAGCUUUCUAUUCUUGUUUAGUUUCCUUUUUCCUGAAGAGCCUUGGAUUUGGCGGUUGUUGAUGGUUUUGAUGGGAUGCAGGUAAUUGGCAAAGCUCUCGUCCUUGAUGAGAUUAUCAAUUAUGUCCAAUCGUUACAGCGUCAAGUUGAGGUACUACAAUUAGUUGUCUUGAAAGAUAAACUGCCUAAUUAGCUGCUGUCGGCGAGUUUCAGAAUUUUCUUUUUUAACUUUUGCAGUUCCUGUCAAUGAAGCUAGAGGCAGUUAAUUCCAGGGUGACUCCAGGAAUCGAUGUCUAUCCUUCUAAAGACGUAAGUUAAUUCCUUCAUCAUGUGCCGUGUAUGUUGUUUCAUCUGAACUUUCUUUCGUUUCUGUACUGAGAACUACUGUUACUGCUUUAUGUUUAUAUGUCGGGUUACCGGAAAUUCCAAAACUAGAAUUUAAUGUUCAUCACCGUUUGCAUUUAUGAAGAAGGUAAAUCCGGCCCACUGGUUUACUCCGUGGACAACUACUGGUUCUAAAUCGUCCUUUGUGAUCUUGUACAACAGUACAGCUGACUUUCCUCUUUAGGCUUACCGUUAAAAUGCCUUGAGAUGUUCAGUUAGGUUGCUUCUUCUUCUGAAAGGAAAAAGUAUUGAAAUUGCUUUAGUAAGUCUCCUCUAUUUGAUUUCAGUUUGGCCAACAAACAUUCGAUACUUCCGGAAUGGCUUAUGGUUCACAAACCACAAGGGAAUAUAGCCGAGGAGCUUCGCCAGAAUGGUUGCACAUGCAGAUCGGUAGCGGUUUCGAAAGAACAUCAUGAUCUCAAGAAGAGGGAAGCAAAAGAGUUCCUUGCUUCAUUGAUGAUCAGGCAAUAAGAAGCAGCAAAUACUUACUACAUCCUACAAUGGCUUCUGAAACUAUACUGCAUAAUGUUCAGUGUGUGUACUACUUCUACACCAGACAUGGAGCUGUUCGUUUGAAUCUGGAAAAAGAGAAGAUAUCCUCCAUUUGUUUUUUGCAUAUCUCGAAGAAGUCGAUUGAUUCUUUCGCUUCAUAUAUAUAGAAUCUUGUAAGCUGGAACUUCACUUUCUCCCUUCCUUCCUUCCUCCUGUUGUUAUAAAAACUGGUAUUGAAUGAUUGCUGUUGUAAAAUGUUAGAUCUUUGUACAAACUACAAAAGACCCUUUUUUGUGUUUCUUAUCAAAGACAAGCCUAGUUCUGCAAUAAAGUUGGGUUCAAUGUUUGAACACAAAGAUCCAAUCUUUUUUACAUUUCACGAACUCGAAACUGUACAAACAAUUCAUAGCAACCCAGUUCGGGUUUGGAAUCGACAGCGCCACUGCAGAUACAGGGAUACUCUGUAAGCUUUAUAUUACUGCCUGUCUAGUACCAGAGGAGGAUCUUCUGCCAUCAUUCCCAUUCGAUUGGAAGUAGGAAAGCACUGCCCAGACAACCUGAACGAGCAGUAUCGUGGCGAAAACAGUGCUUCCAAGGGUGCAAAACACCUGUAACCACCACACAGAAGAUGAUUCAAUUGCAGCAUUCAAGCUAGUUAUUCUGAUAACCAAUCAAAGUUCAUCAAGAAAUGGCAUUUACCUGAAGAAGUGAUUUGAAAAUGAAGAGUACAGUCAGAAUCAGCACCCCAUCAACCGCAAAUGAAACCUGGGAUCCCAAAAUGUCAGCAAAAGAAGGCGACAAAACUUUGAAAGAUCAAAUGGCAACAACACGAAGUUCUAAGUUUGGAUAAGGUUGUUUCCAAUUUGGACUAAAGAAUACAUUUUUGUUCCAAGGGUUACGAUUCUAGUAGAUUUACCAAUUGUGGGGAGAUGACAGAAGGGAGAACAGAGCGAGAAGCUCUUUUAGCACGCCUGGAAACUUUCUUCAGCGAGCUCUGCAAGAAUCUGAUGAACAAAUCGAUACUGCUCUCUGUCUCUUCUUCUUCAUCACCAUCAUAAUCAUCAAAUCCAUCAUCAUCGUCGUCAAUUCCUCCUCCCAUAAUCGCUUCAAAGAAAGCUUCGGUUCCCUUCUCAACUGGGUCUGGAUUCUCUCCGUACAAGCCGUCCAACUGGGUGGGAAAAAACACAUCUUGAAACAGAUGAAGGUUUCGAGAGAGUGUGAGUUAAAAGGGGGUAGAUAGAGAGAGUAUAUAUACCUUGCCGUGGCAAAUGACGGUUGUAAUGGUUUUGCGGUGGGGGAGGAGAGAAGAGGAGAGGGUUGGAGGGCGGCGGGGGAGAUUUGCGGCGGAUCGCCGGAGAUGGAGGGAUGGGGAGGGAAGCGGAGCUGCAAGCUUUAGCAUCAUCCUUCCAAAUUCUUAGCACAACUCUUCCACUGCACUAUGCAAAAUAUGCCUCAUUCAGUCAUUUGGCUACUUGCUCGCUUAUGUCUAUGAAUUUCACUUGUACGUAGUUUUUCAAUGUCUACAUUUGAUUAUGGUGUUACAUUACAUCUUAUUUUGAAACUCACUGUACAAAUCAAAUUAUUUCUCACCAUCACCAAAAUGACUGGACACACAAUAGUUUUCAUUACCAGGCUAGCCUGCGGUACAUCCUCUGUGGGCUUUAAGCCCAAUCAAAUUUCCCUCCACACGUACAUUUUAUUGUACACCUCAUUAUACCUCAUAAAAAUGAAAAUAAAAUAUUUUAUUUUUAUUAUUCAAUACACUGAAAAUUUCAGAUACUGACGUUGACGGACCAUUUAGUUGACGCAAACGCCGUUGUCCCACCGCAGCAGAGUUUCCAACGAAAAGUCUCGCUCCACGACGCCGUCAACUAACUCCCACUUCCCCCAACUAUCUCCCGCCGCCGUGGAGACUUAUCAAAUCUUACGCGCCGCCUAUUCCGCCCCGCCUAUUAAACCCCUCUCGCACAUUUCCACGCGCCAAUUCCCCCCCGCACCACAUCCCACGCGAAAUAGAACUGCGCGUGGUGGUCGCUUUUUCGGAUACCCACCCUCCUUUAUACUAAUAAAUUACGCGGUUUAUUCGGAAGCUUGGCUUAAUGUAAUGAAAAAUUCAAAAUACGAAUUAUUCAAAUAAACAAAAAGAAAAAAUUCGCAGGACGAAGAAGAAGAAGAAGCAGAGAGAGAGAAGGUUCAAAGAAAACGAAAGCGAGAUCGAAGAAACGGAAGAAAUAUAUUUUUCUUCCCCCCCAUCUCCCCUCUGUUUCAUCGAUCUUUGUUAUUGCCGGAGGGGGAUUUGCGGCAACGAAUUAGAGAAAAGGUUUUGAAUCUGCGUGGGGGGAUAGUCUUCUUCCGGUGAGGAAUCGGCGGUUUUUCUACAAUUCCGAUCUUGGUGGAGGAGGUGAGAGAGAGAGAGAGAAAUGAGCGGCAGUGGAGGAGGAUGGGAGAGGAUAAGGUCAACGAGAGGAGGGAGGUUGUCGAGAGAUGUGAGUUUGACGGGUCGAACGACGAGGACGGUGAGGCUAGGCCGUGUGCAGCCGCAGGCGCCUGGUUACCGGACAAUCUUCUGUAAUGAUCGGGAGGCGAAUCUCCCAGUCCGAUUCAAGGUUAGGUUUGGAAAAUGGUGGAAUGAAUGCCUGCGUUUGGUUUGAUUCUCCUUCUAGGAUGAAUUUUCUUGCUGUUUUGCGUUAUAAACGCGUUUAGGGAAAUGGUUGGGAACUGCAAUCAAGUGAGAUUUCAAAAUGUUUCUAUUUCGAGAGUUUGGUUUUGAAAGCCUGGAUGUGGAAAUGUGAAUAGUCAGUUUGGUGGGUUGAGUUCUUAGUUUGCAGUGUGAACUUCAUCUGAGGAUAUCCUUCAACCAUCAUGCUCGUUUGAAUCCCUCUGCAUGAAGUUGUGGGAUUGUUCUUCACCUUAGCCGUAGGAGUGCCUGAGAGUUUGGAUGGCCGAAUAAUUGACGGUGAACUCGAGUAGAAUUGAGUAUGGCUUUCCCCUCGUGAUGGAUAGUUUAGCAACUAGUUUCAUCAGGCACUACAUUUGUCUGUGUUGUGUGUCUAUCUCAGCAUUUCUUGAAUGCUAAGUUUAAGGCACUUACCUAUUGAUGUUGAAGAAUUCGUUGGGACAGCAAAUAAUGAGUCUGAUUGUUACUAUGAACGAGAAAUAACCAGUUCCGUAGUUACUAUUUUACAGAAGUAAAAUGAACAAUGCUGGAGUGCCAAAAAAUUUGCUUCUAGAAGGUUCAUUGGUUAGCCUGAUAUAUUACAUAGCAAGCUAAAUGCUACUCACCAAGUUGCACAUGCAGAUUGAAUAUUUUAGUAAAUGGAGAGUUAUUUUGUCUAUUCUUUAGAAGAACAAUCCUGCAAGUUUGUUUGCCAGGUUGAUUUACCUUUCUACUGUGUUUUCCAGUGGAGUAAUAUUCUACUAAAUUUUUUGAAGUUGAUGUUUGCUCCAAAGUUUUAAUUUUAAAGUAGGUUCGAUGUGUCUUCGUCUGCCACUGACUAUUUGCUACUAUUUGUUUCAGGGAAACUCUGUAUCGACUACAAAGUACAACUUUUUAACCUUUCUACCGAAAGGGUUGUUUGAACAGGUAAAUUCAGUUCAAUGAGAAAAUAGUUCUCACCUCAUACCUGUGCAAUGCCUAUCAUUUUCUAAAGGAGGCACGGUGUGUUUGUACCACAUUAAAAGCUCGCCUAAUCAAAGCGCCACUUAAUUCUUGAGCAUGAAGGAAGAAAUAUGUUGAGAUGAAUUCAAUUCUUAGUUUCUAAUUGAUAAACGGAUGCCAAAGUUGUUAUCCAACUUGCCAAGUUCUGAAACUAGGAGUUAGAAGUUUAAUAUUCUGCAUUUUAUUUGAUGUCCUGAGAUUAGUUCAGGCUUGUGUAAGGCUUAAAAUAUAUGUUUUAACAGCAUGCAUCAGAAGUUGUACACAUUCUCUACUUUCUGGUUAUGUUAAUUGCUGAGAGAAAUAUUUUCCUGAAUUGACAGUUCAGACGGGUGGCUAACUGCUACUUUCUCUUGAUCUCUAUUCUCUCUAUGACACCUAUCAGGUAAUCUUAGUCGUUUUUACGAUCUAACUUGUGAUGUGUAUUCUUCACCUUCUGAAGCAUCUUUGCUAGAAUUUGGAAAAUAGAUUUUGUUGGUUCUGCUUUUAUCUUACAUUUUUUCAUUUUUGCCUAUUCAGAAAGACUACUGAUUUACUUUGUUUAUAUAAUCGUUAUUUGUCCUGUAAAACAUUAUUUAAUAAGUUGUCUUGUUGUGCAGUCCGGUUAAUCCAGUGACAAACGUUGUCCCGCUUAGCUUGGUGCUUUUUGUUUCUCUUGUAAAGGAGGCAUUUGAGGACUGGGUGAGUAGUUUACCACAUGGCCCUUUAACCUUUUCACUCUGUCGUGGCAUGUGCUAUUUCUGAAGCUGAGUGGACUAAAAGUCUUCUUGGCGGAAGUAGAGGUGCCGAUGAGGUGUUGAUUAUUACUUGCUGUAUCGUAGUUGGGGGUGUGGCUGAUUUAUGCAUCUUGCCUGUGUUAUGUAUCCGAAACAGAAACGCUUGCAGAAUGAUAUGGUGAUAAACAAUAAUCCUGUAGAUGUGCUCCAAGAUCAGCGAUGGGUAACUAUUCCUUGGAAGAAAUUGCAGGUUGGAGACAUUGUUAGGGUGAGUUUUUUAGUUCAUUUUUCGCUUUGAAUUUUGUUCUUUAUUCAAGAGUGGUAGUCUAAUAAGCAAUAACUGGGUGGGUUAUGUAAAGUUUUCCAGCAGCUGCAACUGGAGUUAUAACUCUCUGAUCAUUUCUACGGUCUUCUUUGAUAUUUGGUUCCUUGGGAAGAAUCUUAUUCACCUUUUACCCCCUAUUCUGACUCUGGAUGCUUUAUCUUCACAGAUUAAGCAGGAUGGAUUCUUUCCUGCAGAUUUGCUUUUCCUAGCUAGUACAAAUGCAGAUGGUGUCUGUUAUAUUGAGGUCCCUUUUCGUUUCUUUCUUAUUUAUUAUUCCCUGUCGUAAUUGUUUUCGUGCUGUUGUUUUAUAAAUGAUAGUUCUGUCAAUUUAUACUCUUGGAUGUGGCUUCUGCUGGCAGACUUCAAACUUGGAUGGUGAAACAAACUUGAAGAUUAGAAAAGCAGUUGAAAGGACUUGGGAUUAUUUGACUCCAGAGAAAGCUGUUGAAUUUAAAGGUGAUGGUUUUUUACAAGUAUGAUAUCAAGGUGCAUCUGGAGACUUGCACUAUGCUUCAGCUUAUGAAUCAUGACUCAUUACAUGUAUGAUAUGGAGAAACUAUUUAUGCCUAUCAACUAAGAAUGCCCAACAAGUGCAUUGUUCUGUGGGUCAAUUUUUUCUGGAUUUUGUGCGUCUUCUUUUACACGUAUGAUAUGAAGAAAGUAUUUCAUGCAUUCCAACUUCUAUUUUAUAUCAUAUGAUUACUAGUUAGUUAUGUUUCUAUGCUGAUUUGCUCCAUUAUUCCUUCUGUAAGUUUAGGUGAAGUGCAGUGUGAGCAGCCGAAUAAUUCCCUAUAUACCUUCACUGGCAAUCUUAUUAUUGAGAACCAAACACUUCCUCUCUCCCCAAACCAGCUUUUGCUUAGGGUAUGGUUUCUUUCUUUUUCCGAUGUUUUCACUUUUGUAUUUUUGUCCACCAGUCAAUCUUGUUCAUUGUUCUAUAAAUUCUGAGAAUAAAUGCGUACAUGCGGUUUCCUGCAGGGUUGCAGUCUAAGGAAUACUGAAUACAUUGUAGCGGCUGUUAUAUUCACUGGUCAUGAAACAAAGGUUUGUAGCAUCUCACUCUCUUUGCUUGCCUACAUAUUAAUACCAUUACCAUUAUUCUGUUGUCUUUUCAAGGGAAAGACGGUUGUAUACCAAUGAUUGUAUUCUCACUAAAUGAAUUUGUAUAGGCUCAUUAUUACAUGUGGCUGUUUGAUCAAUUGCAGGUAAUGAUGAACUCUAUGAAUGUUCCUUCUAAACGGAGUACGUUGGAGAGGAAACUUGACAAACUUAUUCUUGCGCUCUUCGGAACACUCUUCGCAAUGUGCCUUAUUGGAGCCAUAGGAAGGUGGGAUAUGACUUGCUAUCUGGUCUAAUUGUACUUUUCUUUUCUCCUUUCCUGUUUAGUGCGCAUUAGUUCUUUAGGUGACAGUUUUCUCUGCUCAAUUUCUGCAGUGGAAUAUUCAUAAGUAGUGACUACUACUACCUAGAGUUAAAAAGAGGAGUAGGAUUGGAGUUUGACCCGACCAGCCGUCUUUCGGUACCUAUCCUUCCUAAAGUUGUUAUCCUUUCAACAUGAUGAUGGGCCUGCGGCUUGAAGGAAAGAUAAUUGUGGGUGGGGCUUUUCCUUGUUCAUGCUUCUAAACGUUUUGUUUUUUUAAUUUGUACAGGUUGCCAUCCUGACACUAUUUACCCUGAUCACUCUAUAUUCAACAAUCAUUCCUAUCUCUUUAUACGUCUCCAUUGAGGUGGGUUCAGCUUCAUUAUCAUACUUAUCUGUUAUCAAACAAGAAAUUGAAAGCUUGUUAAUUUAACUGUCUUCAAUUUUGUUUCCAGAUGAUCAAGUUUAUCCAGUGUGCUCAGUUUAUCAACAAGGAUUUGCAUAUGUAUCAUGUUGAAAGCAACACCCCAGCAUUGGCUCGGACUUCGAAUUUGAACGAGGAACUUGGGCAGGUAAAGCUGUUAUGAGGUGCACUUUUUUGUUCAUGACUUCCAGUUUUAAUUUUCACUACCACUAAUUCAUAGUUCUUCUGAUUUGAUACUUUUUUCAGGUUGAAUUCAUAUUCUCGGACAAAACUGGAACCUUGACAAGGAAUUUAAUGGAGUUCUUCAAGUGUUCAAUUGGAGGAGAGGUUUAUGGAACUGGCAUCACUGAGAUAGAGCUGGGAGGGGCACAAAGGACCGGUGCCAAAAUUCAAGAUGUGCUGAUUCCAGAUCCUGUGACACUGCAUUCCCUUUUGUCUUUAAGCUAUGUACUGUUCUGAAAACCUGAAGAGUUAUUUUAUUCGUUUAGGCGCCAAGAUCAUCCCAGACUGUUCGUGAGAAAGGGUUCAAUUUUGAUGAUUCUAAGAUCAUGAGGGGUGCUUGGAGGAAUGAGCCUAAUCCGGACAUGUGUAAGGUAAUAUACUACUUGUUGAAACCGUAGAAUCAGUAAACCCCUAUAAGCUAGUUUUGGAAAUGCUUUGCAUGCCUUUUAUAAAAUGCCGUAUGGUUCAUUUGUUUCUUGUAAUGUCUUAUUCUUGUUUUCCUUUGUCUGGAUUUUGUAGGAAUUUUUCAGAUGCCUUGCUAUAUGCCAUACUGUACUUACUGAAGGUGAUGAGUCCCCUGACAAGAUUACAUACCAAGCUGCAUCUCCUGACGAGGCUGCUCUUGUCACUGCUGCAAAAAAUUUUGGUUUCUUCUUUUACAGGUUAACAGCAGAAAUACCAUUGUUCUAUUUUUUUCCCGUUCUGCAUGCAAAAAAAAUUUAAAUUUAUCCGAGAAGGUGAAGUUAAAUUUUAAUGAUGUAGUCUGUUAUCAGUCGAAAGAAAGAAAUACUGAGUGCCACUGGUUUGUUUCCUUCAGACGUACACCUACUAUGAUAUAUGUCCGUGAGUCUCACGCAGAGAAGAUGGGAACUGUUACUGAUGUUCCAUACGAGAUUCUGAAUGUUCUCGAGUUCAACAGGUGGAGACUUGCCCUUCUUAGUUGAUUUUAUUUUAAGGAGAACAAAGCCAUUAUAUUCAAAGUUCUAUAUGUGUUGUUUGUGUAGCACGAGGAAGCGACAGUCUGUUGUUUGUAGAUAUCCCGAUGGUAGACUCGUAUUGUACUGCAAGGUGAUGCUCUCUUCAUUGUAAUGUAUAGAUCCGAGUCUAAUCACUUCUUUGAAUGGUCCUUUAACCAAAAAUUUGCCUUCUCAGGGUGCUGAUACUGUAAUCUACGAAAGAUUGGCUAAUGGAAAUGAUGGCCUUAAGAAGAUAACUCGGGAACACUUGGAAAAAUUUGGAUCAGCUGGAUUGCGUACUCUCUGCCUUGCCUAUAAAGAUUUACAGCCGGAAACAUAUGAAAGCUGGAAUGAGAAUUUUAUCCAAUCUAAAUCUUCUCUUAGAGACCGUGAAAAGAAGCUAGACGAGGUAUUGGAGUGGCUACCUGUCAAGUUUAUAUCUAUUAAACUAACUUUCCUGCAAUUGUGUAACAUUUCAAAAUAUAUGAGUGGUUCUAUUCCUUUACUCAUUUUCUCAAAGUUUGUGGUAGCUUAUUCUAAUCGUCUAUUAUGAAACUGACACAGGUAGCUGAACUUAUAGAGAAGGAUCUUAUCUUAAUUGGGUCGACAGCUAUAGAAGACAAACUUCAAGAAGGUGUACCAGCUUGUAUUGAGACGCUUUCUAAAGCUGGAAUUAAGAUUUGGGUCCUGACAGGGGACAAAAUGGAAACUGCCAUAAAUAUUGCUUACGGUCAGUUGCUAGUCAGACUGAGCUAUUGCUGCUGUAAGGUUCUCCAUGUGCUGAUUGGUUAUUACUUCCUUUGAUUGGUGCAGCUUGCAACUUGAUUAACAAUGAUAUGAAACAGUUCGUUAUUAGUUCAGAAACUGAUGCUAUUCGAGAUGUAGAAGAAAAGGUAAUUGGUUGUGCGGUCAAGUAUACCUUCAGAUGCAUAAUAACGAUUAUAAAGUUCCGUGUUCUGCUGCAAUGUAUUGAUGGUUCUGUUAUUUGAACUUUUUUUCAGGGUGACCAGGUAGAAAUUGCACGGUUUAUGAAAGAAGAAGUCAAAAGAGAGCUCAAAAGGUGUCUUGAAGAAGCACAGCACUCUUUGCGCACUGUAGCUGGACCAAAGUUGGCACUCAUCAUAGAUGGAAAAUGUUUGAUGUAUGCAUUGGACCCAACCUUGCGAGUAAUGCUGCUGAAUUUGAGUCUGAACUGCAAUUCUGUGGUUUGUUGUCGGGUUUCCCCUUUACAGAAAGCUCAGGUGUUUAUCUUUUCUAAUAUUUCGCUUUGUUCCCUGAAUUUAUCUCUACUAGUGUUUCAGCCUUUUUAACUUCUGGUCAAAAUUGCACAUUUAGGUUACCAGUCUGGUCAAGAAAGGUGCAAAGAAGAUAACCCUUAGCAUUGGUGAUGGUGCUAAUGAUGUUAGCAUGAUUCAAGCUGCUCAUAUCGGUGUCGGAAUAAGUGGGAUGGAGGGUAUGCAAGCAGUCAUGGCUAGUGACUUUGCGAUUGCCCAGUUCCGGUUCCUAACGGAUUUACUUCUCGUUCAUGGACGGUGGUCUUACCUCAGGAUAUGCAAGGUCUGAAAAUCAUCUCAAAUAUUGAAUGCUGUCUCUGUAUUUGUACUCUCGCACCCAGUUUAUUCAUAUGUUUCAUUUUUUUCUCCAUUACAGGUCAUCACGUACUUCUUUUACAAGAAUCUUACCUUCACCCUCACGCAAUUUUGGUUCACCUUUUACACUGGUUUCUCUGGUCAAAGAUUUUAUGACGAUUGGUUCCAGUCCUUGUAUAAUGUUAUCUUUACUGCUCUUCCUGUCAUAAUCGUCGGGCUUUUCGACAAGGCAAGCUUACUCAGAGCUCUACCUCUGUCCUGUUGCUUGAACAAUGAAUGGGGUUACUCAUGUUCAUGCCUAUUUUCCAGGAUGUUAGUUCGUCGUUGUCGAAGAAGUACCCUCAACUGUACAAGGAGGGAAUAAAGAACAUGUUCUUCAAAUGGCGAGUUGUGGGGACAUGGGCUUUCUUCUCCGUCUACCAAUCUCUCAUCUUUUAUCACUUUGUGACGAUUUCAGCCACGAGUGGUAAGAAUUCGUCGGGGAGGAUGUUUGGACUGUGGGAUGUCAGCACGUUGGCCUUCACCUGUGUCGUAAUCACUGUCAAUUUGCGGCUUAUAAUGAUGUGCAAUUCGAUCACAAGAUGGCAUUACAUUAGUGUCGGAGGAAGUAUUCUCGCAUGGUUUGUCUUCAUCCUUAUAUACUCGCUUCUACGGGUAAGUCGAUAGAUUCCCCUCUGAAAUUCGCUGAACUGAUGUCAUUUCGUCUAUUGCUAACUUGAUUUGGGCUUCCCAUUCUUUUUGCAGGAGAAUGUUUUCUUUGUGAUUUAUGUUCUUAUGGGAACAUUCUACUUUUACCUCACCAUUAUUCUUGUCCCUAUCGUAGCCCUUCUCGGAGACUUCAUCUAUCAAGGGUAAGUUCGUUCUUUCAUUCAUUCAUCCACCCUGUAGGCCCUGAAUGAUAUUAGUCAUUAGAGGACUCGGUUUAUCGUUCAUCAUUGAUUUGCAGGGUCGAGAGGUGGUUCUUCCCAUACGACUACCAAAUCGUACAAGAAAUGCACAAGGACGACCCCGAAGACAACUCGAGGACCGGAUUGCUGGAGAUAGGCAAUCGACUCACCCCACAGGAGGAAAGAAGCUUCGCCGUAGCUCAACUUCCACGAGAGCUAUCGAAACACACGGGAUUUGCGUUCGAUUCCCCCGGUUACGAGUCGUUCUUCGCGGGCCAGCUCGGUAUCCACGCUCCCCAGAAGGCAUGGGACGUUGCCAGAAGAGCCAGCAUGCGUGGGAAGCCCAAAGAAUCAAAGAAGCACUGAAUUAUUAUCAUGGGAAUUUGCUCUAUUGUUGUACAAAAGAGUUUUUGUAGUUUGUCUCUCCAGAAACCCUUAGAUAAAUUAUUUGUAUAUUUAGAUGCAAAUGAAGAAUCUUUGUGCUUCUCCCCACUUACCCACUUUUGUCAGUUUGUUGGUUUGGAGCUUUAGAGAAUUAUGUAUUCUUUUGGAGGAGUUUAGUUUGUCAAUUAGGGUUUUGUCCCCCUCCCAUAUGUACAGCUAAUUGAUAACUUUUAAAUCCAAUACACGAUGAACAUUCUUGUAAUAGUAACUUAUUCUCUUCUUGUAUGGCUUAAGUAAUGGUGAAGCUAUUUAGGGCUCGUGGUGUUUUUUGAAUUUAUGUAUAUUUCGAGUACACGAAAUUCGGCUUGAUUAUUGUGUAACGAAAGCAUUCUAUAGACGCUCGUUUUAUAUUGGUAUAGACGCUAGUGCAUCCGUCGUACAUACCCUAAUUUGCUCGAAAAAUCCUAAUAGAUCAAGUCCAACUAAGGUGUUAGAGCUCACGAGAUUUGAGGCUCUCGAAACAUAAAGAAAGCAUAUAUACGCGUGCAUAAAAAACUUGCUAAUUUUAUAUAGGGAUAUAGCGUUCUAAGAGUGAAGGGUCGUAAUAUGGGUUGGAGCUAUCCCAAUUAUGCCAUUGAAUCUAAUAUAGAAAGGAAAAUAAACAUUAUAACAAUAUCCAUUCAUGAAAUAUACUAAAUUUUUAACCCAAAAUUUCAAAUCAACAACACAAAACUCUACAACUAACGCAGCCCACUCAAACAUUUUAUUAAUAGUAGAAUAAUGCGAAUACAAGUAGCGAAAUCCAAUACGGAAAUUCCCAAUACAAAAUUGAAAAAUUUCAGACUUACCGAGGAAGAGAAGGAACCAAAGAAAAAGGUAAAAUAAAAAUAAAAAUGAAAAAGAAGACUAAUAAUUACGAGACAAGAGUCGAGAGAAGAGUUGCAAAGCUAGAAACGAUAGACAGAAGAAGAACUGAAGAAGAAGAGGAGGAGGGAGCUCCUUCAACACUUUCGUCGGUAAAUCCACCGCUCUUUCCCACCACCGUACUCCCUAGCCGGCGAUCGAGUUCUUCUUCUUCUGUUGCUGAACGCUGUCAGCCCUACCGGUGGUGGUGGUGAAAGAUAAAGGAAAACUCAUCUUUCGAUCUAAUCCACAAAAAAGGAGGGAGGGAUGCCGUCGCAGGGGGAUCUGGACCGUCAGAUCGAGCAUCUGAUGGAGUGCAAGCCUCUGCCGGAGGCGGAGGUGAAGACGCUCUGCGAUCAGGCCAAGGCGAUCCUGGUGGAGGAGUGGAACGUGCAGCCGGUGAAGUGUCCGGUCACCGUCUGCGGCGAUAUCCACGGACAGUUCUACGAUCUCAUCGAGCUGUUCAGGAUAGGUGGAAAUGCUCCUGAUACCAACUACCUCUUCAUGGGCGAUUACGUCGGUAAGUUUAGUUACUUACUUCUCUUCAGUCAAAUCCUUCCUUUGACUUCCAAUUUGGAUUUCUCGCAGCUCGAAAUCUUAGGGUUUCUGAUUCACACUAGCUGCUUAAGCUCUUCUUCUGUUUGGCUGUUUGCUUUGCUUGAAUCGAAUCCAUGAUUCGGAGAGAAUCUCUGAAUUUAUAUGUAAAUUGAUGAAAAUGCAGAUCGUGGAUACUACUCAGUGGAGACGGUUUCGCUGUUGGUAGCUCUCAAGGUUCGUUACAGAGAUAGAAUCACGAUUCUGAGAGGGAAUCAUGAAAGCAGGCAGAUCACUCAAGUGUAUAAGCUCUUUUAACUCUUUCGUGCUUUUCAAUCUGAUGCUAUGCAAGUUUUUGAUUGUUUGUCCGCUUAUCGAUCCGUUUCAGCUAUGGUUUUUACGACGAGUGCUUGAGAAAGUAUGGGAAUGCCAAUGUGUGGAAGCAUUUCACUGACCUUUUCGAUUAUCUUCCUGUUACUGCUCUGAUCGAGAGUCAGGUGAGUGAAUGGUUCAAUCAUUUUUCGAGCUUGGUGUCAUCCUCAUGUACUGAUGUUAACAACAAUCCAGGUUUUCUGUCUACAUGGAGGCCUCUCACCUUCUCUUGAUACAUUAGAUAAUAUUCGAGCUCUCGAUCGUAUCCAAGAGGUAUCUAUCAUCAUCUUGAGCUUCCUGUUUCUGGUUUUUCAAUGAAGUCUCCAGCUAUAGCCUAAGCAAUUGUCUUGAUGAUCGUGGUUUGUUUCGGUCUUAGGUUCCACACGAAGGGCCAAUGUGCGAUCUGCUAUGGUCGGACCCAGACGAUCGAUGCGGGUGGGGAAUAUCGCCUCGUGGAGCUGGAUACACAUUUGGCCAGGACAUAGCAGCUCAGUUCAACCACACAAACGGACUGAGUUUGAUUUCGCGAGCUCAUCAACUCGUUAUGGAGGGAUACAAUUGGGCUCAGGUUAGUAACAUCACCUAACAUUAAACUGUCUGCGACGAACUUGCCUAAUCUUGUUACCUUUUGUGUUCAGGACAAGAACGUGGUGACGGUGUUCAGUGCUCCGAACUACUGCUACCGGUGCGGGAACAUGGCCGCAAUUCUGGAGAUUGGGGAGAACAUGGAGCAGAAUUUCCUUCAGUUCGAUCCAGCACCGAGGCAAAUCGAGCCGGACACCACGAGGAAGACCCCAGAUUAUUUUUUGUAAUUCAUCUUGUAGAUGUGUCCCCUCUAAGAAAAGAAUGGAAGAUUUUUGUUUGUGUUCGUUUGAUCGAAGAAUCUCUUCUUGAUAAUGCCUUUGUUAAGGAUCUUGUUGCGCAUGAGCUCGCAUAAGAAGCCUCGAUUCUUCACUGAUUACACGAUUCGAAGAUCGGAGUGAGUACGGGAGCAGAUUGAGUGCAUUCGAAGUCUCCCGAUCUCUAUGCUCCACAUAAGUUGCUAGAUCAGAUCAGCUCUGUUGGUUUUCGAGCUUUACGCCAUCUUCCAUCUCCGCACAUUUCAACGAGACACCAUCGUCCAGUCCCACUGCAACGAUAUCACACUGCUGAAAUUCUGAUUGCAAAAUGACAGAGAGAAAGCCGAACAACACUAAAAAGCUUCAUAAAACACACCUGGCGUCAUGAAAUUUCUCCGACUCUAAAAACUCGUCCAGAGGAUCUGACAUAUUCAAACUCAAAUCCUGACUCAAAUUUCGAUCAAAAAUAGCCGAAUCAAAAACUGCAACUCGAUUACAAAACAUAUUCGAAUUCGGCAGAAGAAGGCAUGGCAAUUGGCGAAGCAUGUUAACGAACCUUUUCCGAGCAUUGACAAGUAAGUUACUUCCACUAGGCGUUUCCUUGAAAUCAAACAGAACUCUUCGCCUGGAAUCUUCCAUCGUCUCCAGCUGCGGAGCUGCUUACAUCCCGAAAAUGAGAAAACACGAUGUAUCAGAAAGCUUGAUCAUACAUGAAAAAACAAGAGAGAGAUUACUAAGGAAUUCGCACUUAUGUGACAGUACACUCCGUGAUCCGAAGACGACGGCGAUUCAAUCUUAACGGCGGCGAAGACGGAGGAGAAAAGAAGAGAUCAAGAGUAAAUAAUCAAAUUAGCCAUGGUUGCGUUUGCCUCUCUCCAAUUUCAUUUCGUAAACGCGAUACUAACAGCCUCUAAUAUUGGGCUUCGUAUCCUUCUUGUGGACCAGUCGGCCCAGCAAAACUCUAUCCUAUUUUCUGCUGAUGUUGUGGGUCCGUGGCAGGCACCAUAAAUUCGAGAUUAUACAAUAUUUCAAAUAUCGUUACGCUACAAAUUUGUUACUUAUAAAUACGGAUCCCUACAAUCCUAUGAGAAAUUAUUUUGUUCUAAUUAAGGUGACGGUGUCACGCCUAUUUUCGUUCGUUAAUGAAUGUUCGAUACGUAAUCGAUAUGUAGCCGAUUCUCGUAGGCAUGUGUGGCCAACUUGAUCUCUUUGUUAAAUCGUCUAGUUAGGUACAAACCAAUAAUGGACUCUUCUAUGAAAUGUUGACAAUACAACAAAGAAUAUACUUAUGAUAAAGUCUUGCUUCUUUGUUAAUUUUUUAUAUAAAUAAAUAUAUAUGUAUGAACUACCGAAUUCAUUUAUAUAUUAAAGUAUUUUACUUUCUUAAAAAAAAUAUUUAUAUAUUAAAGUAUGUAACAUGCAUGUGCUAAUUCAUGGCCGUAGGGACAGAGACUUCUGGCCCUUUCGAUUUGAAAAUUUACAAAGAUUUUCCCAGUUCUGGAUUCCCACACUGUCACUGCUCUGCAUUUACUUGUUAUAAGCAUCAGCUAGCUAGCUGCUGUUAAUGUUUUUCACGAGAGCUUCGUGCCCAGAUUUGUGAAACUGCAGCAGCUAACUCAGUUUCCGUACAGACAGAGACAGAUGUCCUUGAUGUUCAAGUGUUGAUUAGUACUGGUUGAUUUUCUACAAUGCCUAAUUGAGAACGACUUGGUUCAUAUACUGUGAACUAUAUAUCCUUAUGGUCAAUUCUCUCGGUUACUGUCAUCAUACAAUGCAUAAUCAACAACUUUUCUGUCACAACUAUAUAUGGUUCCUAGCAUUAAAAAAAGCACGUACGACGAAUGUGCCUACGUUCUGAACUAAUAACUCGUUAGUUGUGAGACCCUUAUAUUGAGACAGAUUCGACGAACAUAUCUACAAUGGUUUGAAGUAUCAUUCCCUAACAUCAAACCACUUUUACUAGAAACAUGUUUACCUUCUUAAUUGAUUACUUGUUAAUUGCAAGACACUUAUAUUAAUUACUCCAGAUUCGAUGGUACAUUGAUGGUUUAAAGUACGUACUUAACUCUCGGGAUUCCAAAACUCGGAUUGGAGCGAACCGUGGCUCGAGUGGCCAACUAGGAAGCAAAAUAACACCCAUCUGUUGCUCUUGGUGUAGUGUUUUAACUUUCUUUUCUGGUACCAGGAUUAUUUAUAACCAAUUUUUCAUCAUUUUGGUUCAGAAAGAUGCAACAUCUGGGACAUAGUAGACUUUUACUUUUCUUUUAGGCCAAGAUUCAAUCUUUUCAACAUCAUCAUGCCAUGUUCCUCCCCAAAAGUCAAGUCCUGUAGGACAUAUUCAAUUGAAUGAACCCAAUGCCCUUACGGUAAAGCUCACAAAACCACACCCGAUUGUUCGAUCACUCCAAUCUCGAAAAAACUACAAUGCAGCAUACCAGAUGGAUUAGAUCGGUUAAAAAUCUCGUACACAACUCUACCGCUAGUCUCACCGAUUCGAUAAUUGGCAACUGAAUAUUGCUAAGGUACAUUAUAAAAAAAAAGUACAGGUGAGAUACUGAAGGGGGUGGAUAUGCUUCAUGUUUCAGAGAGGAAAAGAUACACAGAACUUUUUGACAGACAAUAUGAGCAUAAAUAAAUAAGGGGGGUUUACAAAUCCUGAUCGAGUAAGGAGAAACAUCUCCCGUUUUCUUCGGAACAACCCAACAAUUUUUCUCGACAUAACUAAUUAAACAAACCUUAAUUACUCCUUCAAUUCACCACCUUCUUGCUUACCAAACACCAGAGGGAACUCAUCAUACUGCUCGUUCGGUCCAUGUUUCUCCGCCAACGCCUUCAAUGACUCGUAAACUCGGUACAUCGGCUGCCUAUCCUUGGGUCUCGAACCCACGCAGUUCAGUGCCACCUUCAAGCACUGAGUGAUCUCCUCAUCGUGGCCCUUGCCAACCAACGAUUUAUCGAUGCAGUCUUUGCUCCGGCCAGCGAUCACAAGGCUGUUCACCCAAUCGACUAAGUUGCCUUUGAACGCUUCAUCAGCGUUAAUGUUCACAACAUCCAACGGCUUCUGCCCUGUGACCAAUUCGAGAAGCACAACUCCGAAUCCGUAGACGUCGCCUUUUAAAGAUGCUACCAUCGUGCUCGAAUACUCGGGAGGGAUGUACCCGAACUCGCCCAAAUCUCCGUUGAAGGAGCUGUCGUUCGAGUCGCGAGUAGCAACCAGCCUUGCCAGCCCGAAAUCUGCCACCCUGGCGUCAAAAUCGUCGUCGAGAAGGAUGACGUUCGAGCUCAUGUAUUGAUGAACGUAAGGUGGCUGGCAUCCAUGGUGAAGCCAGGCGAGGCCUCUAGCUGCUCCGAGGCCGAUUCGUAACCUUGUCGGCCAAUCAAUCGAGCAGGGUUGUGUUCCGAUUCCGAAACCAGACCCGUGCAGCUGAGAAUACAGAGUCCCGCCAGUCAUAUGCUUGUAAACGAGUAACCUUUCUUCCUCCACAGCGCAGAAUCCCAACAAUGGAACCAAAUUCGGGUGGCGUAACUGUCCUAGCCUGUUCAUCUCGGACCUGAACUGCUUCUCGUUGAGCUUGGAAGAGCCGCUGAGUCUCUUCACCGCUAGAGCUGACCCAUCGGGGAGAACAGCCUUGUAAGAGACACCAGUUCUUGUGGAAAUGAUGAUGUUCUCGAACUCGAAAUUGUUCGUCGCCACAAUCAAAUCGUAGAGCUUAAUCUUGUUGAUCGGCUUUUGGAAUAGCGAAACCUGGACGAGUUUGUGAGACCUGAGAAGCUCAAUCCAGCUUGACUCGUCUUUCCUAGCUCCUGCCUUCUUCGAUCUCUUGCCAAAUAGCCACCACCAAAUCGCAAACCCUAGAACUAACGAGCCAGUAGCUCCAACAACACCUGCAGCGAUGAUAAUCCCUAAGCUCUUACUACUCAAUCCGCCGCACUUCCCCAACGGCCGACCGCACAGCUUCCCGUUCCCUGCGAAAUCUUCCUCAGGGAAAGUGGCCAGAUCCGCCGGAAUCGACCCGGAGAGUUCGUUGUUCGCAACGGAAAACUUCUUCAGCCGGUCCAACCGACCUAGACCGUAAGGGAUCGACCCGGAGAGCUUGUUAUCGUUCAGAAUUAAGUUGUUGAGAAACUUACAGUUGACGAUCUCUGGAGGUAUGGAGCCGGUGAGAGAGUUACUUGAGAGAUCUAACGUCACAACGAAAGGGAGCCAGCUGCAGAUUUGCGGAGGUAAGCUUCCGGAUAGAGCGUUGUUUGAGAGAUCCAAGGACUGGAGGCUCUUGCAGUACUUGAGCGAGUCAGGGAGUUGACCGGCGAGCUGGAAGUCAGGGAGCUGGAGGUUGAUGAUCCGAUUCUCUCGCUCGUUCCAGCAGGUGACGCCGUUGAGCUGGCAGACGGCGCCGACGGAGUUGUUGUUGAGGUUCCAGUUGAGCUGGUUCUGAGGAUCGAGCGCCUUCUUCACGCCUUCUAAGCACAUGAGGUCGUCUUCGAUGGCGGAGGCGACGAAGAGAAGGAGAGAAGUCGUCGUCAGGAGCAGGAUCGAGGAGAAAGACGACAUCUUUAGCUUCUCCAUUGUGUUGGUUGAUUUGGGGAAAUGGAGGAUUCGGGAUUAGGGUUAGGAGGAAGGAAAUGGAGGGGCAGCCAUUGACUGAGCUGGGGAAAAAAAGAUGAGGAGGGAGGAUGAUGAAGAGGCAGCCAGCAGCUUAGCUAAGCUUUGUUGAAUGUUGACUCUCUUGUUUUCUUCUAUGGAGUCGGAUUCUUUCCUUUUUCUUUUCUUUCUUUCUGUUCAAUUUUAUCCCAUUUUCGUCGAUUUAACUUUUUACCCGCGGUGACGAGUUAAUUAAUUGAUUUUGUUACCGCUUCUAAUUAGUAAUUAGCCGCCUUAAUGUUUGUUCUCAUACAUAUAAAUAUUUAAUAAUAAUCAUAAACGAUGUUGACUUUGUGUAUGUUAGGAAUAAAGAGUCGUAGUUGCUCAUAUUUAAUUUGUAAUUUCUCUUAAAUAAAAUAUCGCAUUUCGUUGUUUUCAACUACUUGAUUAAGUACCAAAUAUACAUAUAUCAAAUAAUAUUAAUCAAACUUGUACCAAAUAUAUUUCCACAUUCAUUCAGCCUGCUAAGGAGUUGAUGAGUUGGUGAGUUGGUUUGGGUUUGGCUAAUUUGGUUGGUUGGAAAGUUGAAGAUUCAGCCUCAGGGUGAAAAGAGUACAAUUGAUUAUGAGUAUCCUUUGUUAGAAUUGGUACCGCCCAACUUACAGUCCAAUUCAUGGGGAAAUUGCCACCCACCAGAGGAAAAUCUGACUACCAACACAGAGAUUAGAAAGAACAAAGAUGUGUUUAGAUUGAGAAAUUUGGACUGCUAAAUUAAUGACCUUUGAACUUUGAAGAGGAUUAGACAUUACCCUAUAGGCUUUUUUGUGUGAAGAGACUUGGGAUUUUGGAGUGAGUUGCAAGUCACCUAAUUUGUGGAUCAAUUCAAGGCGAGUAAAACCUAGUGAAGAUCGAAUUUGGUUUAGUGUGGAUCAUGCAAAUGAGAGAAGACCGAUAAUUUCAACUCGGGUUGGAUGACAAGUCGGUAAUGAAAGUAAAUUGAGUUUGAACGGGAGAGUAUAAACUUUUGUUUACAUGCAUAUCUUGUGCGUAGGAUGUUUGUAGGAUAAAAGUAUGGGAUAGUGUAUAAGAAUUGAAUAGGUGACAGAUGAGUUAGAUCAAAUGAACAAGAGAUAGAAUCCAGUUAAGUGUAAAUAAUGCAAAUGAGAGAAUAACGAUAAUUUCAUACAUCACGAAAGUAAAGCGAGUUUGAACUAGAGAGUACCAACUUUAAUUUGUUUACGUGUAUAUCACCUAAUUAUUUGACAAAUGUCUUGUAGGGUAUAUUUGUUUGAUCUCUAUCGUAAUUAAGUGUCUUUCACGUAUGAACUUAGAAUUUUCAACAAACUCAUCACUUUCUCUGGAUGUCUAUUCAUCAAGUUACCAACACUUUUUAGAUUAAUAGCAACAUAUUAAUGACUCUCUUGAUUGACUACCAUAAAGUACUACAUAGAUUAAUUUCUCACACAACCAUUAGUUGUAUACAGAAAUGGUCACCUCGUUACAACAGUUCAUCAAUUCUCUGCACUUAUAUACAGAGACACCAACCAGAGUACGCCCAAUGAGUCAUGGAACAAACAUUUCGUCCAUGGAAGUAGAUAGCUAGCCUAGCAUAGUGAAGACAAUAUCCAAAAGAAUCCCGACACUGAAUAUUGGGACCUCCAUGCAUGCACCAAGGGGAUCUUUGAUAAUCUUUUGGCUCUGCAAUUCCAAGAGGGGCACACAGUAUAACUAUUCAACUGGCCACUGUGUACGUGUACCAAACCAAAAAGGGACAGUGGAAUCAGAAUAUGUGUGAGAAAUUUAAAGUUAUGGUGGAUCUUCACCUUCUUUUCCCCCUUCUGUUGUCACCAUUCGAGUUCAUUUAUUCUUCAAAGGAUAUAUGAUAGUGGAGGAGAAUGUUCACUAACAUAUUCUUCCUUUUGCCAACUUUGGAAUGUUCAAAGUUUGUGUGUUACUUCUUACAUAAUUAACAAUCAUACCAUGGAAAAAAUUAUUUGUCAUGUUUAGUCGAUUAAAUUCAGAUAAAUAACGAACAAUAAUAUCACAAAAAUCAACCAAGCUCGCAAGUAAUUAGCUUUAAUCUAGUUCGUCGAGGCCUCUAGAGGCAUUAGUAAAUUCAUACAAGCUAUAAUCUAGAAAUCCACUAACAAUAACAAUUAAAAUUAAAAAAAUUAAUUUUAUUUGGCUAUUAUUUAAAGGAUUUAACAUAGUGAAACCUCAACUUUUAGCCAUUUCCAACAUCCAUGUUAAAUAUUAGCCAAUUUGAAAAUUUGAAAAUUUUCAUAUCAAAAUUGGUCAAUUUUCAAAAGGGUUAACCUGUAGAAAAUGAGCCAUUUUGAUAAGAAAAUUUCAAAAUUUUAAAUAGACUAAUAUUUGACAUGUUAGAAAAUGCUAAAAAAUCAAGUUUCAUUAUAAUAACUUCUAUAAAUAAUUGUCAAAUGAAGUGAAAAAUCCAUUUUACUUGGUGUUAUGUUAGUGUUGAAAUUUUUUAAAUUGGCUUACAUUUUUCAAUUUCGACCAUACACAAUAUCUAUAGGUACCAAAUCAUUUUAUCAUAUAUUUCACCACGUACAAACAGUAAUAAAACACACGAGUCGGUACGUUUCAACUCCGUUAAUAAUAUUAUGAGCCGAAGCCCGUGAGCAGCAUUUGACGUUUAGCAAAUGGGCCGACAAUCCCGAUUCAUGAUCGGCCCGAAGUCUGGGGGGCGUAAGGAGAAGAUAAAUUUGUAGGGAUCGGUGAAUUUAAAAUUUUAAACGCAGCCUUUGACACGUCAUCCGUGACUGGAUGAUCUCAUUUUCAAAUUGGACUCUCUGGUUCCAAGCCACCACCAAAUCGCAAACCCAAGAACAAUCGAGGCAGUAGCUCCGGCAACACCUGCAGCGAUAAUAAUUCCUAUGCUCUUAGUCUUACUACUCAAUCCACCGCGAUCCAACGGCCGACCGCGCAGCUUCCUGUUCCCUUCGAAAUCUCCCACGGGGAAAGUGGCCAGAUCCGCCGGAAUCGACCCGGAGAGAUCGUUGUUCACGACGGAAAACUUCUUCAGCCGGUCCAACCGACCUAGACCGUAAGGGAUCGACCCGGAGAGCUUGUUAUCAUUCAGAAUUAAGUUGUUGAGGAACUUGCAGUUGACGAUCUCUGGAGGUAUGGAGCCGGUGAGAGAGUUACUCGAGAGAUCUAAGGUCACGACGAAAGGGAGCCAGUUGCAGAUUUGCGGAGGUAAGCUUCCGGAUAGAGCGUUUUUUGAGAGAUCCAAGGACUGGAGGCUCUUGCAGUACUUGAGCGACUCAGGGAGUUGACCGACGAGCUGGAAGUCAGGGAGCUGGAGGUUGAUGAUCCGAUUCUCCCUCUCGUCCCAGCAGGUGACGCCGUUGAGCUGGCAGAUUGCGCCGGCGGAGUUGUUGUUUAGGUUCCAAUUGAGCUUGUUCUGAG